CCUACGGGAGGCAGCAGUAAGGAAUAUUGGUCAAUGGACGGAAGUCUGAACCAGCCAUGCCGCGUGCAGGAUGACGGCCCUCUGGGUUGUAAACUGCUUUUAUAGGGGACGAAAAAAGGGGAUUCUUCCUCACUUGACGGUACCCUAGGAAUAAGCACCGGCUAACUCCGUGCCAGCAGCCGCGGUAAUACGGAGGGUGCAAGCGUUAUCCGGAUUUACUGGGUUUAAAGGGUGCGUAGGUGGGUCGGUAAGUCAGCGGUGAAAUCUUCGAGCUUAACUCGGAAACUGCCAUUGAUACUAUCGAUCUUGAAUCGUCUAGAGGUAAGCGGAAUAUGUCAUGUAGCGGUGAAAUGCUUAGAUAUGACAUAGAACACCAAUUGCGAAGGCAGCUUACUAUGGAUGUAUUGACACUGAGGCACGAAAGCGUGGGGAUCAAACAGGAUUAGAUACCCUGGUAGUCCACGCCCUAAACGAUGGAUACUCGACAUUUGAGAUAUACUUUAAGUGUCUUGAGCGAAAGCAUUAAGUAUCCCCACCUGGAGAGANGCAGAGUAGUAACGUACGAAGAAGUUAGAGCGUGAGAGUGACGACGACGACGACGAGGGAGGAGG
rnacentral:rRNA from 1 species